GGCUCAGAUUGAACGCUGGCGGCAGGCCUAACACAUGCAAGUCGAACGGUAACAGGAAGAAGCUUGCUUCUUUGCUGACGAGUGGCGGACGGGUGAGUAAUGUCUGGGAAACUGCCUGAUGGAGGGGGAUAACUACUGGAAACGGUAGCUAAUACCGCAUAACGUCGCAAGACCAAAGAGGGGGACCUUCGGGCCUCUUGCCAUCGGAUGUGCCCAGAUGGGAUUAGCUAGUAGGUGGGGUAACGGCUCACCUAGGCGACGAUCCCUAGCUGGUCUGAGAGGAUGACCAGCCACACUGGAACUGAGACACGGUCCAGACUCCUACGGGAGGCAGCAGUGGGGAAUAUUGCACAAUGGGCGCAAGCCUGAUGCAGCCAUGCCGCGUGUAUGAAGAAGGCCUUCGGGUUGUAAAGUACUUUCAGCGGGGAGGAAGGGAGUAAAGUUAAUACCUUUGCUCAUUGACGUUACCCGCAGAAGAAGCACCGGCUAACUCCGUGCCAGCAGCCGCGGUAAUACGGAGGGUGCAAGCGUUAAUCGGAAUUACUGGGCGUAAAGCGCACGCAGGCGGUUUGUUAAGUCAGAUGUGAAAUCCCCGGGCUCAACCUGGGAACUGCAUCUGAUACUGGCAAGCUUGAGUCUCGUAGAGGGGGGUAGAAUUCCAGGUGUAGCGGUGAAAUGCGUAGAGAUCUGGAGGAAUACCGGUGGCGAAGGCGGCCCCCUGGACGAAGACUGACGCUCAGGUGCGAAAGCGUGGGGAGCAAACAGGAUUAGAUACCCUGGUAGUCCACGCCGUAAACGAUGUCGACUUGGAGGUUGUGCCCUUGAGGCGUGGCUUCCGGAGCUAACGCGUUAAGUCGACCGCCUGGGGAGUACGGCCGCAAGGUUAAAACUCAAAUGAAUUGACGGGGGCCCGCACAAGCGGUGGAGCAUGUGGUUUAAUUCGAUGCAACGAGAAGAACCUUACCUGGUCUUGACAUCCAUGGAAGUUUUCAGAGAUGAGAAUGUGCCUUCGGGAACCGUGAGACAGGUGCUGCAUGGCUGUCGUCAGCUCGUGUUGUGAAAUGUUGGGUUAAGUCCCGCAACGAGCGCAUCCCUUAUCCUUUGUUGCCAGCGGUCCGGCCGGGAACUCAAAGGAGACUGCCAGUGAUAAACUGGAGGAAGGUGGGGAUGACGUCAAGUCAUCAUGGCCUUUACGACCAGGGCUACACACGUGCUACAAUGGCGCAUACAAAGAGAAGCGACCUCGCGAGAGCAAGCGGACCUCAUAAAGUGCGUCGUAGUCCGGAUUGGAGUCUGCAACUCGACUCCAUGAAGUCGGAAUCGCUAGUAAUCGUGGAUCAGAAUGCCACGGUGAAUACGUUCCCGGGCCUUGUACACACCGCCCGUCACACCAUGGGAGUGGGUUGCAAAAGAAGUAGGUAGCUUAACCUUCGGGAGGGCGCUUACCACUUUGUGAUUCAUGAC
rnacentral:rRNA from 1 species